rnacentral:sRNA from 2 species
CCGGCUUCCAUUGGGGAGUAGCCGCCUGGAGCCAAUGCUCCGGGGGCCACGUCAACAGACUUGACCGUCGUCGCAAUGGCAGACGGUUAUGGCGUGGUCAGCAACAUCCUGGGUGCCCCGCACCCGGUGACGCGCCUGGCGAGACCGAUGACACGCCUUUCCGGACAGGGCCGGGAAAGGUGCGUCAUUGGUUCGUAUACGGCCCGGACACCC